CAAACAAAUGCUGCACAGGGCCAUUUUAAUGCAAGUCCAAAACAUGGUAUUGAUAACCAUUUAGAGAAAGAGCAUGCACCCAUGGACACAGAUGUCAGCUCAUCUAAUGAUGUGCCUUCUGCUGUGGGAGGAGGUACAGAUGCUCAUUUAGAGAAAGAGCACGCACCCAUGGACACAAAUGUCAGCUCAUCUAAUGAUGUACCUUCUGCUGCAGAAGGAGGGCAUACAGCACCCCUACAAGACAAUAGCAAUGAGCGGUCUGAUAGUCAUGUCUCUGGGUCUGAUGCAAAUAACAAGGUCGAAGAUCCUGCUGAGAACUCG
rnacentral:lncRNA from 1 species